GAUGAAGAACGCAGCGAAACGCGAUAGUUAAUGUAAAUUGCAGAAUUCAGUGAAUCAUCGAGUCUUUGAACGCACAUUGCGCCUUUUGGUAUUCCGAGAGGCACGCCUGUCUGAGCGUCAGCAAAACCCUCGGGGAUCAUUUUUUUGAUAACCGGUUUUGGCGGCGGGCACCCCCCCCCCAAGGGGGUCCCGCGCCUAAAUCCAAUGGCGGGCGGAAAGCUAGCAGCAAUCAUAGAAAUAUCUUGCCCAAGGCUGAAAACCCUACCUAAGCUUACCUAAAUUUUGACCUCAGAUCAGACGAGGAUACCCGCUGAACUUAAGCAUAUCAAUAAGCGGAGGA
rnacentral:misc_RNA from 1 species